CCGUUGACUCAAGUCAAAACGUCGAGAGAAAAAAUUAACAAAUAUGGGUGCAUACUUUCAUACAAAGAGUGAAAACGAGAGCUAAAUCAUAAAAAGAACAAGAAAAAAUAAGCGAAAUAAUAGAAAUAACAAAAUCCCCAACUAGCAACUCGUCUUAGUCUUCGUUUGCAUUGCAUUAAGGAAUUCUCAACGCACUGACUGGUGUGACAAUAUAGCCUAACAAGUAUUCAUUAUUUAACUGUGGAAAUCAUUGACGUUUCACCCACGGUAGGGUAUAGCCUGUGACAGCACAUUGAAUGUAGGAGCUUGGAGUCCAACUGCUGACAUACGUGGAUCUUUUUUCUUUUCUUAUAGACCAAAUGUACAGCUGUUUCGAAGUUAUGCGACUAAUUGUCAUAAAUUACCUUUAAGUCACAAUGGGGAAAAUAAAUGGAGAAUUUUGCUGUCUCAUUUGAUCCCUGACCCUUCGAUUUUCCUGCUGAGAGCGACCAAAUCCAGAGGCGUUUAUUUCCCACCCCUACUGAGGAUGUCGCGCAGUUGGAAACUCAAAACCUCGAGCAACGAUUCAAUGCAUAAUUACUGUUAUACAAUUCACCUUGUAUUUCUGUAAUUUAUUUAUAAGUUGAUCUAUUGUUUAAUCGUGUAUCUUUAUUUUCUAAUCGCUGAUCUCUUUCUGUAUUUCCUGUUAUCUUCUUUAAUUCCUUUCAAAUGAACGCCAUAUUCUUUGGAACCUUGAAAUUCCAGUCAGUGACUCCUGUUGGCUUGUUCAUCUUCUGAAUGAUAAUAAUCUGAAUAGGAAUAAUUUUAGAGAAGGAGUGACACUUCAAGUGGUGUGCCCUCACGCUCGUACCAUUCUGAAAGAUACUCGUAGGAUUCAAAGCUUUGCAUAAAAUCAGAUGGUCAUUAUUGUAAUAAAGUACAUGAACACUUCCAGAGAGCAAUGCACUUGGGGCUGAAUGGAUACCGAAAUGAAUCUUUAGCACUGUUUACAUUGUUCUUAGGCUCAGAUUUUACUUCCUGCUUGGAUUUACUUCAGGUCAAUUCAAAGAUCAAAAGUACUAUGUCUAUCCGGUAAGUGGUGCCUUUGGAAUAAUUUCCAUGUUGGGUUUACACUUCAUACACAUCUACAUUCACAUUCUACCAAUAAUUCUUCUUAGUAUGAGCUUAGGCGAUCAAGAGUUUUCUUCCUUGGCACAUACUUAGUGCACUUACAGUCAGAAUUCCCUUGUGGUUUCAGAUCGUGUCUUGCCCCCAAGUUGCUUCUCCCUUCAUCAUAAACUUAGCUUUGCUUCCUUUCAUUUUCAGUUUUCAGCUCUCCUUUCCAGUCUUCAAUCUUUCAGAUAAUACUCUAAGACUUCUUUCUCUGACUUAGCUGUUAAAACCCGGACUCUUCAAGCAGAAACUCCUAGGGGCCUCCCUUUCCUUAUUUCUCUGUAACUUGAUUGGUGAUGAAGGGCCCUGUGCUGAUCUGUGAUAGGCAUUAGUAAGUAAGAUAGACCCCAGGGUUUUUGUAGCCUUGCACUGGACCUUUUUCUCUCCUUAUGCUGAGUUAUUACGCACCCCUUGUUAUUUUUUGCCCCUUUGGUAGUUCGUUCAUUCUGUUUGCUACCAUUUCCACCUGUCACUUGAAAUCAGAUCCUUUAGGAGAUCUUCAUGAAAGGGAAGUUUUCACUCAAUAGUUCCUUGACACUGCAGUUUUACAAUAACAAUAAUGAUAAAAAAAAAUCCCUCUCUCUCUCUCUCUCUCUCUCUCUCUCUCUCUCUCUCUCUCUCUCUCUCUCUCUCUCUCUCUCUCUUGCAUCUCAAAGAGAUAAUGUUAAAAGUCACACUCAAACAACGACUGUGGCAAUGAAAAUCUUUUCCUUCUUACUUGGCCUAUAGUAAAAAAAGAAUGCAGGAUACCCUCUUUGGGUAAGGUACUGUGUUUAGAUAUGUACUUAUAAAGUUGAAAGAAUUUGGUAAAAGUAUUCAGAUUGUUUUCUGUUUUGUUAUUAAUUAAUUUUAAAGUUAUAUAACUGAAUACUGUUGUGGGUAAGUCAUUGUGAUAUGUAAAUCGUUGCCUGAUAACUUUUUUUUUAAUAAAAAUUCUUGUGUUUAUUUAUUAUUAGAAAUAUAUCAUGCUCUCUCUCUCUCUCUCUCUCUCUCUCUCUCUCUCUCUCUCUCUCUCUCUCUCUCUCCUCGCAUCUCAAAGAGAUAAUGUUAAA